GUGGUGGUGGGAGGCCACGUCUCCGUCGUCUCGGCGCCGGCCACCAAGGGCAGAGCAGGUACCACUGCGGGAAGAGCCAGGACAGCCCAGGUUGGAUGGCCUCAUCCUCACCCCUGGGCAGGUGAUGGAGCAAGCCCUGCUGGAAACCAGUUCCUGAGACACGAAGGAUGAUGGGAGAGGACAGAGUGGAUUUGCAAAAGGCUUUUUUUUUUUGCCAAAUGCAAAGCCGGGAGGGAUGUGACAGACCCCUUGUGGAGGGAUGCUGCUCUUUGGUCUCAGCCCCGCUCAGGAGCCUCCUGGUCCGUUGGUGCUGAUGAAGGGCUGAGGAGGACAUGCAGAGCCCCGGCGGGGCUGCUGAGCGCGGCGAGGAGCAGCAGCGACUGAGGGUGACCCAGAUAUCUGCGAGAAGAAAUGAGAGUUUCCAGUCUGAGUCAGUCCAUGGGGAAACCCAGCAGCCCUUAAAGGAGCAGCCCCGGGCUGGGGAUCACGUCGGAAGGCAGCAGAGGCUCCGUCAGCCGAGGAGCGUUUUUCUCCCGGUGCCAGAGAGUGACAAAAACAACUCCUUGAGAACAGAGCUUGUGCUCCCCGUGGGUGCUGGUGCUGGUGCCCAGCUCAUCCCGGGAUGCUGCGGUUCCCUGGGAUGGGGGAGCAGAAGGGGCUGAGGCUGCCCCGCUGCAACCCGUCCCACCCCCGCUCCCAAACCCUCCUUCCCUUCUCACGUCGGGUGAAGAGUUAACCUCAAGCACAGUGUUAACCUCACCAGACCACAGGAAAUACCGCACCGGAGGCAAUGGGACCAGAAUUUUGCUCCCCUCCCGGGACAGGGAAGCCCCUUCCCUUGCCAGUGGCUGCUCUGGCUUUUGCCGGCUCCACAGCAAUUUUUUUUCGGGGGGAAAGGGAAGGAGGGGUGAAAGCAAGAGCAUGACAGCCUGGGGGAGGGGGACAGGGGAGGCCUCGCUGGGUGCUUGCUCAAUAACGUAUACAGUCCCAUAUAUAACACAUCUGUGUGUAUGGUUAUACACCGGGGGGGGGGAACUUGGGGGGAAUGGAAGUUUUGGGGUGUUAGAGGUGUCUUCCAUGCCCUGUGUAGUGGAAGUAUUUGUAUUAAUGGAUCAAAAAGCAUUUUCAGGGG